rnacentral:rRNA from 1 species
UGCUGAAUUUAAGCAUAUAAGUAGGCGGAGGAACUGUGACAAACAGGGGUUCACUGAGUAACUGCGAGUGACAUGUGAUUUGCUCACAGCUGAUAUUCUUUGCUGAAUGCUUUGACGUGAGGACUUUGAGUGUGGUGCCAAUGGUGUUGCAAGUGUGAGCCAUCUGGGAAAAGAGGAGAGUGUGCACUUACAAGGGUGAGAAGCCUUGCUUUGAGAAUCAUGCUCUUUGGAAGUGGAGUGUAAAGUGGGUGGUAGACUCUUCUCAAAGCUGAGUACAGAAGUGGGACAGACAGAGAAGAAGUACCAUGAGGGAAGUGUGAAAAGGACUUUGGACAGAGAUUGCGGCGUGUUUUCGGCUGUUUUUUGACUGUAUGAUCAUGGACAUGUGCCAUGGACACCUGACUACCCAUUGUGUAUCCUCUUGCGUCUGCCAUCAUGUUGGAGACUGUCAGUGUUUGAGUGCAGUGAUUGCUGUGCGUCUUGCGUUACAUCAGAUGUGCACUCAAAGAUCUGAGCAUGUUGAAAAGCGGUGCAGAAGGACCCUCCUGUCUGUAUGACCCGUCUUGAAACACGGACCAAGGAGUCUAGCAUGAGUGCAAGCUUAUGGGA